rnacentral:lncRNA from 1 species
CAUGCAUAGAAUUAAAAACUUGUUGUGAUAUUUUUGAGCCAUGGCUUGGAUGAAGACACAAUAUUGUGAAUUUUGUGGUGAGAUAGGAGGGCAACAAUCGCACUAGCGGAAGCUAUGGUGGCAUUGAAUGCUUUAUGGGUAGCUAAUGAUCAGAAUGUGCAGGUGUCAAUUAACCAAUUGAGUAGCCAUUUUAGUGUGUUUUUUUGGUGUGGUGGGGUGAGGUGGGAUGGUGAUCUUUGUAAAUAGAGUGGUAGAAGAUGGAGUAAGGAUGAAAUUUGGAGAAAGUAUUUCUUACACUAUAUGUACC